rnacentral:rRNA from 1 species
GACGAACGCUGGCGGCGUGCUUAACACAUGCAAGUCGAACGGUGAUCUUGGGAGCUUGCUCUUGGGUGAUCAGUGGCGAACGGGUGAGUAACACGUGAGUAACCUGCCCCUGACUCUGGAAUAACUUCGGGAAACCGAAGCUAAUACCGGAUACGACACAGAGCUGCAUGGCUACUGUGUGGAAAGGUUUUCGGUUGGGGAUGGACUCGCGGCCUAUCAGCUUGGUGGUGAGGUAAUGGCUCACCAAGGCGACGACGGGUAGCCGGCCUGAGAGGGCGAUCGGCCACACUGGGACUGAGACACGGCCCAGACUCCUACGGGAGGCAGCAGUGGGGAAUAUUGCACAAUGGGCGAAAGCCUGAUGCAGCGACGCCGCGUGAGGGAUGAAGGCCUUCGGGUUGUAAACCUCUUUCAGUAGGGAAGAAGCGCAAGUGACGGUACCUACAGAAGAAGCACCGGCUAACUACGUGCCAGCAGCCGCCGUAACAC